rnacentral:rRNA from 1 species
GACGAACGCUGGCGGCGUGCUUAACACAUGCAAGUCGAACGGUAAGGCCCUUCGGGGUACACGAGUGGCGAACGGGUGAGUAACACGUGGGUGAUCUGCCCUGCACUUCGGGAUAAGCCUGGGAAACUGGGUCUAAUACCGGAUAGGACCACUGCCUGCAUGGGUGGUGGUGGAAAGCUUUUGCGGUGUGGGAUGGGCCCGCGGCCUAUCAGCUUGUUGGUGGGGUGAUGGCCUACCAAGGCGACGGCGGGUAGCCGGCCUGAGAGGGUGACCGGCCACACUGGGACUGAGAUACGGCCCAGACUCCUACGGGAGGCAGCAGUGGGGAAUAUCGCACAAUGGGCGCAAGCCUGAUGCAGCGACGCCGCGUGAGGGAUGACGGCCUUCGGGUUGUAAACCUCUUUCAGCACCGACGAAGCGCAAGUGACGGUAGGUGCAGAAGAAGGACCGGCCAACUACGUGCCAGCCGCCGCAGUAA